CACACCUACCUACAUAUAUCUCUCUCCCAUUCUUGAAGUAUCCGGCCAGCCGCCUGGAAACCGACCUCAGCCGCCGGAAAUCGAAGCCAGCCAUCGGAACCAGCGACAUCCACCACCACCCCACCAUCUCCAUCUUAUUUACAACCAUAUUAACUUUUUUCCUCCACCCUCUUUCACAACCGCCGGCCACCCACCUACGGGAAAUCCCCACUGCCGCCGCCGAUCUCGCCGGAAAAGUUCACGGCCGGAAAAAAGCCAACCACCGCCGCAAGCCUUGCCUUUGUCGGAUUUAUUGGAAGAGCAAAAAUAUGGGGAUUUCAUAUUUCAUUGUACAAUUUAUUACAUGUAAUUUGUUCUUUAAUUAUUGUUGAUGUGUUUAUGGUAUAUGAAUGUUUGAUUUAAUGUAAAUUUUAUUGAUUGCAAAAUUUAUUACAUCUGUAUGCAAAUGUUGGA